UACAGAGGUCUCAAGCGUUGUUCGGAUUCAUUGGGCGUAAAGGGUGUGUAGGUGGCGCCGUUAGUCGGGUGUGAAAUUUCGGAGCUUAACUCCGAAACUGCAUUCGAUACUGCGGUGCUUGAGGACUGGAGAGGAGACUGGAAUUCAUGGUGUAGCAGUGAAAUGCGUAGAGAUGGGGGAGAACACUCGUGGCGAAGGCGGCCAGCUAGACCAGUUCUGACACUGAGGCGCGACAGCGUGGGGGAGCAAACAGG
rnacentral:rRNA from 1 species